rnacentral:sRNA from 1 species
GUGCUAUGACAACAGGGCGAAGAUGGCUCAGAGUUAGGCUGGAGAGGGGAGGUGUCCCUUCCGCUGCGGCCGUCGGGUUUCUGCUACAUCCCAUUCACCGCCUCCUCCAUCCUUUUCUCCUCUGUCCCGUGAUUGGUGGUCUACUAUUCUGGGAGAUAAAGAAGAAUUUGAUCAAGGCUGUUUGUGUCUGGCUAAUGUUGACAAUAGUGGAAAUGGACAAGAUAAAAUAAUUGUGGGUAGCUUUAUGGGAUACCUAAGGAUCUUUAGCCCCCAUCCUGCAAAAACAGGAGAUGGAGCUCAAGCCGAAGAUUUGCUUCUAGAAGUGGAUCUACGAGAUCCAGUACUUCAAGUGGAAGUAGGAAAGUUUGUUUCAGGUACUGAAAUGCUGCAUUUGGCUGUGUUACAUUCUAGAAAACUUUGUGUCUACUCUGUCUCAGGAACCUUGGGUAAUGUGGAACAUGGGAACCAAUGUCAGAUGAAAUUGAUGUAUGAACAUAAUCUUCAGAGAACAGCCUGCAAUAUGACCUAUGGAUCA